CGGGGCGUAGCGUAGCUCGGCUUAACGCGUCUGCUUUGGGAGCAGAAGAUCGGUGGUUCGAAUCCACUCGCCCCGA
rnacentral:tRNA from 1 species